GGGUGCGAUCAUACCAACAUUAAUGCACUAGAUCCCAUCAAAACUUCAUAGUUAGGCGCGCUUGAUCUAGAGUGGUACUGGGAUGGGUGACCUCCCAAUAAUUGCUAGUGUUGCACCCU
rfam:Picea glauca, whole genome shotgun sequence.